AGCUUUGCGCAGUGGCAGUAUCGUAGCCAAUGAGGUUUAUCUGAGGAGCGAUUAUUGCUAAUUGAAAAAAAAAUAAAAAGGCGAUCCACUGCUGUUCACAUCAUGAUUUGUUGUGAUUAAUGUAUGUGGAUGAGGACA